rnacentral:tRNA from 1 species
ACCUUGAUAGCUCAAGUAAGAGCAUGGCGCUGAAGAUGCUAAGGUGGGGAGAUCCCCUCGAGGUA